CUUACAUAAUUAAUAUAAUAGCAGUUAAAACAACAUGUUAUAUAAAAUAAUAACAUGCUAACAUAUUUAAUAUCUAGAUAAUAUUUGUAUGAACGUGCCAUCUCAAUCCACGUUUUCAUUCACGCCACCUCUUUUUUUGUCAACUCACCAAUACUGAUUUUAAUAUCUUUGUUUCGAUUUGAUUUUAUGUUUCCAUUAUUAUUCUUAUAGUUUUGUAUCGUCAGAAAUUAAAUAAAAGAGAAACAAAAGAAAGAAAAAAAGAAAAGAGAGAAAAGGGGUAAAAGAGUCAAAAAGAGGAUGAUAAAAAGAGGAUAAACAAAAAAGAGGAUGAUAGUGACAUGUGCACAGUGAUCAAGUGGUCAACCUAAUUAAUGAGUCGUUCAUGUAUAUCUAUUGAUAUUACCCUAAAAUUUAAAGAUGUGAUUCAACUAAAUAAAAUAAGUUUAUUAC
rnacentral:sRNA from 1 species